AAUCAACGCUGGCGGCGUGCCUCAGACAUGCAAGUCGAACGAUUAAAGCUCUCUUCGGAGAGUGCAUAGAGUGGCGCACGGGUGAGUAACACGUAAGUAAUCUACCUUCGAGUGGGGAAUAACGUCCGGAAACGGGCGCUAAUACCGCAUAAUGCAGCGGCAUCGCAAGAUGACAGUUGUUAAAGGAGCAAUCCGCUUGAAGAGGAGCUUGCGGCAGAUUAGCUAGUUGGUAGGGUAAUGGCCUACCAAGGCCACGAUCUGUAACCGGUCUUAGAGGACGGUCGGUCACACUGACACUGAAUAACGGGUCAGACUCCUACGGGAGGCAGCAGUCGGGAAUUUUGGGCAAUGGGGGAAACCCUGACCCAGCAACGCCGCGUGAAGGAUGAAGUAUUUCGGUAUGUAAACUUCGAAAGAAUAGGAAGAAUUAAUGACGGUACUAUUUAUAAGGUCCGGCUAACUACGUG
rnacentral:rRNA from 1 species